UGGAAGUAAAAAGUCGUAACAAGGUUUCCGUAGGUGAACCUGCGGAAGGAUCAUUACCGAGUGAGGGCCCUCUGGGUCCAACCUCCCACCCGUGUUUAUCGUACCUUGUUGCUUCGGCGGGCCCGCCUCACGGCCGCCGGGGGGCAUCUGCCCCCGGGCCCGCGCCCGCCGAAGACACACAAACGAACUCUUGUCUGAAGAUUGCAGUCUGAGUACUUGACUAAAUCAGUUAAAACUUUCAACAACGGAUCUCUUGGUUCCGGCAUCGAUGAAGAACGCAGCGAAAUGCGAUAAGUAAUGUGAAUUGCAGAAUUCAGUGAAUCAUCGAGUCUUUGAACGCACAUUGCGCCCCCUGGUAUUCCGGGGGGCAUGCCUGUCCGAGCGUCAUUGCUGCCCUCAAGCACGGCUUGUGUGUUGGGCUCUCGCCCCCCGCUUCCGGGGGGCGGGCCCGAAAGGCAGCGGCGGCACCGCGUCCGGUCCUCGAGCGUAUGGGGCUUCGUCACCCGCUCUGUAGGCCCGGCCGGCGCCCGCCGGCGAACACCAUCAAUCUAACCAGGUGACCUCGAUCAGAGACC
rnacentral:rRNA from 1 species